UUCUCCUUCCAUUAGCUUGAAGGACACAGAGCAGGAAGAUCCUUGCAGGGCCGAACUCCAAAUGGUUAGGACACAAAUGCAGACAUAGUGAUAACCACAUGACAACAGAGUGAGAAGGCAGUUACCUGCAAUAAGAAGAAACCUAAACCUGUAGACACCUUGAUUUUGUACUUUGAGCCUCCAGAACGUCUCUGUUGCAUACUUCUGAUUUGCUACUUGUCACCACAUACAAUGUUAGCAAAUGCAGAAUGGCCCUGCAAUGCCAAGUCAUCUAAAGUUCUAUGUGAACAGUUGACCAGUAUUCCUACGUAAGAUAAAAACUUUCCUGGUAAACUUUUCAUCUCAUUACAAAGCAGUAUAAA